UUGCUCCUUGAUUCAGCGGCGGACGGGUGAGUAAUGCCUAGGAAUCUGCCUGGUAGUGGGGGACAACGUUUCGAAAGGAACGCUAAUACCGCAUACGUCCUACGGGAGAAAGCAGGGGACCUUCGGGCCUUGCGCUAUCAGAUGAGCCUAGGUCGGAUUAGCUAGUUGGUGGGGUAAUGGCUCACCAAGGCGACGAUCCGUAACUGGUCUGAGAGGAUGAUCAGUCACACUGGAACUGAGACACGGUCCAGACUCCUACGGGAGGCAGCAGUGGGGAAUAUUGGACAAUGGGCGAAAGCCUGAUCCAGCCAUGCCGCGUGUGUGAAGAAGGUCUUCGGAUUGUAAAGCACUUUAAGUUGGGAGGAAGGGCAUUAACCUAAUACGUUAGUGUUUUGACGUUACCGACAGAAUAAGCACCGGCUAACUCUGUGCCAGCAGCCGCGGUAAUACAGAGGGUGCAAGCGUUAAUCGGAAUUACUGGGCGUAAAGCGCGCGUAGGUGGUUUGUUAAGUUGGAUGUGAAAGCCCCGGGCUCAACCUGGGAACUGCAUCCAAAACUGGCAAGCUAGAGUACGGUAGAGGGUGGUGGAAUUUCCUGUGUAGCGGUGAAAUGCGUAGAUAUAGGGAAGGAACACCAGUGGCGAAGGCGACCACCUGGACUGAUACUGACACUGAGGUGCGAAAGCGUGGGGAGCAAACAGGAUUAGAUACCCUGGUAGUCCACGCCGUAAACGAUGUCAACUAGCCGUUGGAAUCCUUGAGAUUUUAGUGGCGCAGCUAACGCAUUAAGUUUGACCGCCUGGGGAGUACGGCCGCAAGGUUAAAACUCAAAUGAAUUGGCGGGGGCCCGCACAAGCGGUGGAGCAUGUGGUUUUAUUCGAACAACGCGAAGAACCUUACCAGGCCUGGACAUGCAGAGAACUUUCCAG
rnacentral:rRNA from 1 species